AUUGAACGCUGGCGGCAGGCCUAACACAUGCAAGUCGAACGAGUGGCGGACGGGUGAGUAAUGUCUGGGAAACUGCCUGAUGGAGGGGGAUAACUACUGGAAACGGUAGCUAAUACCGCAUACCAUCGGAUGUGCCCAGAUGGGAUUAGCUAGUAGGUGGGGUAAAGGCUCACCUCGGCGACGAUCCCUAGCUGGUCUGAGAGGAUGACCGGCCAAACUGGAACUGAGAAACGGUCCAGACUCCUACGGGGGGAAGCAGUGGGAAAUAUGGAACAAGGGUCGCAAGCCUGAUGCAGCCAUGCCGGUGGUAUGAAGAAGGCCUUCGGGUUGUAAAGUACUUUCAGCGGGGAGGCGUUACCCGCAGAAGAAGCACCGGCUAACUCCGUGCCAGCAGCCGCGUAAUUC
rnacentral:rRNA from 1 species